ACAUAAAUAAAUUUCUUUCCGUACUCAUAACCAUAUUAAAAUAACUCUCAUCCAUAGUGCAUACAUAUUAUGCAAGUUGCAUCCGUACCAAACCAUAUAUUACACCAGUUUCAUCCACAUGCAUACAAAGUUUCAUAUAUAUCCAUAUACUACAAUAGUUUCAAUACAAUCCAUGGUACAUGAAAUCAUCUUCAAGCAUUCCAUCAAUAUAAUCCAAACUUCCCGUGAAGUGAAGGUAAUCUGCAAAAUGACAAAUAGGAAAGUUACAAGAACAAUACUAGAUUAAGAAGUGUAUAUAUAUAGGUUAUUUCGGAGAGAAAUUAGCUAAGUAUAGACCAUUUAGGAGCUAACUAAGCUAAUUAUGUN
rnacentral:lncRNA from 1 species